ACAGAUAAGACCAUUUACAAAGAGAUAUAGCUUUUGGUAAUGGCGUCCUCUGCAGCUUCCACUCUCUGCUGGACUUCUUCUUCUUUUCUUCAGAGCUUUAGCAGCCCUACAAAUGAAGCCACCAAGUUACCAGAAAAGAAAACAGUCUUGGUGGUUUUUGCCCAAAAGAAAGCCAAAAAGGUUCGGAAGAUAAUUUUGAAAGAGGAUGUGGCAGACCUGGGGAAAAAGGGGCAAUUACUGGAUGUGAAGGCAGGAUAUUUCAGGAAUUAUCUCCUGCCGAUGGGCAAGGCCCAGAUUGUUACUCCGCUGUUGCUCAAGGAAAUGCGGAUGGAAGAGGAAAGAAUUGAGGCUGAGAAGAAGCGGGUAAAAGAAGAGGCUCAACAACUUGCUCUAAUAUUUGAAACUGUUGGAGCAUUCAAAGUCAGGCGCAAAGGUGGAAAAGGAAAGCAGAUUUUUGGAAGUGUUACAGCUCAAGAUCUUGUGGACAUAAUCAAGGCACAGCUUCAAAGGGAUGUAGAUAAGCGAAUUGUUUCUCUUCCUGAGAUCCGUGAGACAGGAGAAUAUAUUGCAGAACUGAGACUUCAUCCAGAAGUGACUGCUCGAGUAAGGUUGAACGUUUAUGCCAAUUAAGGUCAAAACACCAUAUGGAUUCCUGCCAUCAGAUUGACAUCUGUGUAGGAACUUGCUUUUUCUCGAGGAAAAGUAUGGUGAGUGCAGGUCCUAUGCCAAACAAGAUCAUUGAUGAGUCAGAAAUGUCCUGUUAAGUGAACAGAAGUGUAUCAAGUCAAUAACCUAAAAAUGCCAGUAUCAGUUUGUCACUCACCAUUUGUAGAAUUCAGUGGGCUCCUAACGACUUUCAUAUUGCUGGGUUUUUGCUUUUUGGAGGGCCCUUUUCUGUAAUUUAAUGCUUUGUUAUAUUUUUUCAACCUUUCUGGACAAGCAACUCUCUUAGGUCAAUGGUGCUAGAAAUGUGAUAAAAUAAAAGCCACAUCAUAUGUGAAUCUGUCAUGAAUUUGAGUUUGAAAUUUACUGUUUAAAAUGGUUAUAACUUAUCUUUUUAA